rnacentral:lncRNA from 1 species
UAGCUAACUAGCAUUGCCAUCUAACGGAAAAAAAUGACACUAAUAGAAGGGAUUUGAAUAGACCACACCUUCAACGAAGGAGGAGUCCACUACAUAUUGAAUUUAUCAAUCGAUUGUUAGGCCCAUUUCGAUCGCUACUUUACAGUCAAUGUCGGCGAAGCGCAUUGUAAGUUUGUAACUUGGAAGUGUAUGCAUGUGCCACUUGAUGUGGCGUUGCAUGUGGGAGGCCCCGUUGGCAGUACUCUGAGUGAUGGUGACAUAUGGUAGAAUGAUCGCAAUGUCGUGGUAGUAAUUCGCGAGAGAUAUGCCAAUAGGGUUUCCCUAUUGACAUACUGAUACAGGCCUGUUUUCAAUUCUCAAUCGUAAUGGAUUCGAAGAGGAUAUUGAUGGAGUUUUGGUAUAAAAAAGUAUAAGUACAUGCUCGUUGGAAGGGCAACCAAAGAGUUCCGUCGGAUCCUUUUACUAUUGCACAUAUUAUGUGUGUGUAAAACUAAAGGCUAAAAGAGGAAGAAGAAUGAUUCAAAAGUUCUGGGAGAGAAUUAUCAAAGAAUUAUACUCGUUUAGCUGUUUUUACUGUGCGUGGAACUUUUUUGGUCGAGACGUUAUGGGUGUCUUAAAGGCACUGAAGGUUGCGUUAGAUGUUAUAAUCCACAACAAAAAGGAAACGCUGAAAAUCCCAGGUGACGAUGGGAAUUAGUGGCAAUGUUACGGUGUAGAUGACUUCAGAAAGUGUGACGCUAGCUGAUGUAAACCGCCUAGCAGGAAAAGGUUGUGAGAGUAGCAGAAGAAGAGGAAAUUGCAGUAAACCCGGUUUUGAAAGAAGCCAAACAUUCCGAUGAUAUGGGAGCCCAGCCUGUUGAAAGAAAAACCCUAUGUUUCAGAUAGAAAGACCAAAGGAACACGUCGUUCCUCAGCUACUUCUGAGGACCACUGUCACCGAAAGAAAAUCCCCUCGCUUAUAGACUCGGAAGUUGAAAGCGAGAUCAAAAAAUUUGCGACAACGAAGCAAGUAAAAAGUCCUCCACCGUUACAGACCACAAUGUGUAAAUGCGUCACAUCCGAGAAAUUAAUACUGCAGUAACCAGAGCGAUAAAAAAAUUGGCACCAACUCGUACAUAUCAGAUUUUGCCGCAAAGCAUUCAAGAAUGGAGCUUAAUAGCUUGCAGGACUGAAGAAAAUGAUAAAAAAGAAUUAGAACAAAUUUGCUGGCAGCAAAACAAACCACGGGAAGCUCAGGAAGAGCUGGAUCUUAAACAAAAGUGCUCAAAAGGAACUAGAUAACCACAGCAAAGGCUAAAAAAAUUAUGGUUGACAUAAACUUUCACGAAGAAGCAGUUAAAGUAGGCGAAAGGGAAUCGAGUGCGCUACUGUCCCGUGCGUCACUUGCGGCAUCAUUAUUGCGGCAAGUAAGGCAUCCGACACAUGGGGAUGUUUCAACAAAUAAAACAAACGGGGUUCGGUUCAAUCUUUUAAACCAAAAUAGAGUGCAGUAAUAAGUUCCAAAUAUACUGGAGGCGACUUCGUGCAUUAAGUCCGGUGCAUUGCAAAAAUCUUGAUAAGAAAAAUGAUGUAGGCUAUCGGUAUCCUGUAGUACAAGAAGUUUACCGAUAGGGAUCCUGUGUUGAUGAGAUGAUAUAGUCACCACCGACUCCGUUUUUAACGGUAUUCCUCUCAAUAGACUGCGUUAGCUGUAAUAGGUAUUUAACACAGGUUUUGAGGUGGUUCAGAAACGUUUAACACGUUUUGCAACUAGACGUCAUUUGAAUGGUGCAGUUCUUAUCUGCAGCCCUGCAGUGUGCAAAAAUAGAUGGUGGACAAAAUCUGCUCAUCAUGCUGAUCUGCACAAUGCCAGCUUCAUUAAGCAAUCUUGAAAUGACCUAUGAACAGACUACACAGUAUUAAAAGACUUCCCUUAAAGAAAUUUGUAGCUGUGGACUUUCUUUAGAAGACUCUUGUAUCAAAUAUUUGCCUGCUUCUUGGAACAAGGAACAUAGUGUUAUGACCCGGACAUUUCGACUUCGCUCCAGGCAUCAAGACACGAACACUCAAGACAACGAAACAACAAGACUCCGCGGCGUUUAGCAGUGGCACCCAAUCUUUAUUCUCAAAACCCAGAGGUGUUCACUUUACUUUUCAGGGGUAUUUAUUGAUGAUAAUUGUUGAUUAAUCCAUGAAAAAUACCAAUACAUGGUUCGUGAGCAGACGAACCAUUGAAAGGGCCUUGCGCAGUCUAGCUGCAUCCAGACAGAUUCUAGUAGAACCAAAAACAUUGUUUUGACGAGUAAUGUCCUAUUUCGGUUGCAGUUUUUCUCUAAAUACCAAGAUCUCUAUUUCCGGAGAUAUGGACUACUUCCGGUUACUUCCUGACAAUCUGCAAAAACCUGAUGCUGAUCCUACGAGCUACGACAGUUUUACCUACAAAUGUUAGCGUUUCGUGCUGCAACUAGUAGUUGAUAUUCUAGGAUGUUAUGCCUAAAAUUGGAAUUCAGCUAUCAGAGAUUAGAAAAAUUCAAGUGGAAACUCUAGAUGGCGUUGAUGUGCGACUAUAAUGAAGAUCAUGAGUGACAAGUUACGUGUUUGUUACGUUACCCUGUUAUGUGUUUCAAAGGAUUUUUCGUCAAAAAAUUUACGAUAGCUUUUUGUAUGUGGUGGUGUUUCCCCUUGUCAGCUAUCAAUGUACCACAAGGGAUCCUGACAGUUUAAGAAGGCUACUAUUCCUUACAUGAAGAUCACCAUCCAGUUCAAGUACUGUUAAUGGACCUCAAGCCUUUUGUUUAAGCUUAGUGAUGUGUUCUCUCGUCAGUCAACAACAGAGUCUUCAUCUACUUUGUGUUGCUAACCAUCAGCCCUCAGCAUCCCAGGUAUCCAGAUUUCCAAGUUUAUCUGAUUAGCCAACCAUCAUCCAUACCCUUCAGCUCUUCAUUGUGGCUUCUCUUCCUCUCUUCUUAGUCUGCUGAAUGCCAACAUUGAAUAAGGUUCAUCGUCAUUGCCUUUCCAUGGUAUUUUAAUUUGGUGGAUUAUCCAGCUGCUGUUCUUCUCACCGUUACUUAGCCAGCUCACAUGGAUAGGCUUUAACAACAUCUCCAUUUUUUGGACUGCAAAUAGUCAUCUUCCUUCGUCGUCUUGGCCGUCUUCGCCUUCAUCUCCGUCUCGUCUUCUUGGCCGUCUUCGCCUUCAUCUCCGUCUCGUCGUCUUGGCCGUCUUCGCCUUUGUUUCAUCGCCGUCUUUUUCUACGCCAUCACUUCGUCGCCGGCUUCUCCUUCGCCCUUCACGUAGGGAAUUCACCGUGGAUCGUCGUCCUGGUAUUGUUUUAUUUUGCAUUGUUUUGUUUAAGUUAACCCGUUGGCUGCCACCCCGUUUGCGUCCCAUUUUUUUUUUAGCUUGUAGGGACCGGCCGCAAUGGCCUUCGCCGCAAGGCGCCUUAGGCA